UCUCCCCCGACUCAUCCCCCAUAACGCCUCCGACGAGAGUUCUGGUACUUCAAUGUGCUCUCAUAAAUCCUCCAUUCAAGAUCCCUACAGACCUUCCACAUCCCCUCUCCGUCUUGAUGAUAUCUAGAUCCCUAUUUAUACCCUUAUCCCAGAUCGUAAAAUCCAUACCCGUACCUCAGAUCGUAAAAUAUAUACCCUCA
rnacentral:lncRNA from 1 species